UGGCCUCUCCCUCGCCGCAACUGGCACCCACUCCUGCUCCACUUGCCAAGACGCGGUCUAUGCACCACCAUCCCCUCCAUCGAACAGCCGUCGCGUAAAGCAGCCUCCAGCCUUCCAACACCGCGCCCACCUCCCAAAUCACGCGUCCCUUCCUCCUCCACGCCGCCGCGAUGCCGCCGGCCACCGCACCGGCGAGCUCCACCCGGGUACACCCAUCCCGCGUGCGGGUCCUCCACCCGGGAGGGGGCCGUACGACGGGGCCAGUGGUGUACUGGAUGCUGCGGGACCAGCGUCUCGCGGACAACUGGGCCCUCCUCCACGCGGCCGGCCUUGCCGCUGCGUCCGCCCCCGCGGCUCCGAUCGCCAUCGCAUUCGCUCUAUUCCCGCGCCCCUUCCUCCUCGGCGCGCGCCGCCGCCAGCUGGGGUUCCUCCUCCGCGGCCUCCGGCGCCUCGCCGCCGACGCGCGCGCCCGCGGCCUCCCGUUCUUUCUCCUCGAGGGCGGGCCUGCGGAAGUGCCGGUGCUCGUGCGGCGGCUCGGAGCAUCUGCUCUCGUCGCCGACUUCUCGCCGCUGAGGCCAGUGCGUGAGGCACUGGACGCCGUCCUCGGCGAGUUGCGGCGCGACGUCGCCGACAUGGCCGUGCACCAGGUGGACGCACACAACGUGGUACCCGUCUGGGCGGCGUCGGGGAAGCUGGAGUACUCGGCCAAAACCUUCAGAGGCAAGGUGAGCAAGGUGAUGGACGAGUACCUGGUGGAGUACCCCGAGUUGCCGGCGUUGAUGCCAUGGGAUGGGGAGCAACCCGAGGAUGUUGACUGGGACGCGCUGAUCAACAGGAUUUGCAGGGACGCGGAGAAUGUGCCGGAGAUUGAUUGGUGCGAGCCGGGGGAGGCUGCAGCGAUGGAGGUGCUUCUGGGGAGUAAGGAUGGGUUCUUGACGAAGAGGAUCAAGAACUAUGACAUGGGCCGGAAUGAUCCUACAAAGCCACGUGCAUUGUCUUGCCUUUCUCCAUACUUGCACUUCGGGCACAUUUCAGCGCAGCGUUGUGCUCUGGAGGCAAAAAAAUGCCACCAUCUUAGUCCAAAGUCUGUGGAUGCAUUCUUGGAGGAACUGAUAAUAAGGAGGGAACUAGCUGAAAACUUCUGCUAUUACCAGCCUCACUAUGAUUCACUGGCUGGUGCAUGGGAGUGGGCUAGAAAAACAUUGAUGGAUCACGCUGGUGAUAAAAGAGAGCAUAUCUAUACGAGGGAGCUGCUCGAGAAUGCAAAAACAUCUGAUCCUCUGUGGAAUGCAUCGCAGUUGGAGAUGGUGCACCUUGGAAAAAUGCAUGGGUUCAUGCGUCUGCAGAAUGUAUUGGGCCAAAAAGAUUCUAGAAUGGACCACUGGACCUGAAGAAGCACUUUCAGUAGCAAUAUAUUUGAAUGACAAGUAUCAUAUAGAUGGCAGGGACCCCAAUGGCUAUGUUGGUUGCAUGUGGUCUAUAUGUGGCCUCCAUGAUCAGGGUUGGAAGGAGCGUCCGGUAUUUGGAAAGAUACGUUACAUGAAUUAUGCUGGUUGCAAGAGAAAAUUUGAUGUGGAUGCUUACAUUUCGUAUGUUAAAAGAUUGGUUGCGCAGGCCAAGAAGAGGAAAGCUGAGGAAGCUCGGGAUACAGGGCCAAAGCAUCCAAAGUCUGAGGCCAUUCAGCAGUUGAACAUGUCUAAAACUUUGAUAUAAUUCGAAUUUGCAGCUGGUGGACAUUGACAUGGCAAACGGAAGAAUCGCCAAAUAGUGAUGGACAUUUUAUGAAGGUUUAUGCUCACUGAUAUUGUUAUAAAUUCUGAUGAUUGAAACUUAAUUAAAAUUAACUUAGAUUGGUCGAAUUCAAGUUUAUUCAUUGAUUGUUAAUGCUGUACUGGUUUGAGUUUUAACUAGCAUCAUUGUACCUUUGGACAAUAUGUGACACUGCUUAAUUGAUAUGGAUACAUUACGGAA